UGCACUACACCAACACGUUCCGACGAUCCAGCUAUUAAUUGAUCAUCAAGAAGGAGAGGAGUAGCUCUUGACUAUCAUUACAUCGAGUCUGCACUGCACGCAAGCCUUUAAACGGGUGAAGGAGCUCCCGGAAGUUGCAGCUCGAGUUGAGCUUCGGAAGAUCAGAGAGAUCUUGACGCCUUCCAAGUUCUCCUAGCAAGCUAGCAAGCUGCUGGUAACAGGUCAAUUAAUGGAGCAUCAAUCCUCGUGGAAGCUUGGACCCAGACGAUAGUUCGAUGAAUGAUGAGAUGUGCAGUUUCCACACGGCAAACACCCAACUUGUUCAAUUCGUGUGCCUAAAGCUACAAGCAAGCUUCCAGGAACUCGUAACCAACUUGUGUGUCCUCUACCUAGUCAAGCUAGUUCUAGUUAGCUAUAGCUAGCAUAGUAGCAGACAGCCAGGGUUUACCUUGCAGAGUUGCAGGAGAACCUGCUUUGUUCUCUCAAUCUACAUGCUUUGCGGCUAAAAUACUAACUGACUUUUGCUUGUUCCCGUGGUCAUUUGCCCGUUAGUCUUACAAGAUAUACAUCAUAGAUGGACUGGACCACAGACGCACUCAAUCAGUACUUGUGAUCCCACUAAUUACGUGCAAGCUCCGAGUACAUAGUAUACACAUGACAUGAUAGUUCUCUGUACUUGAAGAUUUACCGAAUCAACAUGCCGGAAUUCAGACAGAUUCCGGCCUGCCUGGGGGAAAAGGAGCCAGGAAAUAAUUGAUUGAUCAACUUGCUGUUCUCUUGGCUAGAUGGCUAGCUGCACAGCGGGUGAUUGGUAUGGUACUUGCCCAUGACUUCUCAUGAUGGAGUGCAAAGCGGAAGAGAGCGACUAUAACAUGCCCACUUGAUCAUAGUUUUAUCAAGAAGAGCUAGCUUAUUUGCAUCACUCUUAGGCCAUAUAUAGCGCCGUCGCGGACCGACAGAAAACUGAGCUCUCUUGA